AUUGAACGCUGGCGGAAUGCUUUACACAUGCAAGUCGAACGGCAGCACGGACUUCGGUCUGGUGGCGAGUGGCGAACGGGUGAGUAAUACAUCGGAACGUGCCCGAUCGUGGGGGAUAACGGAGCGAAAGUUACGCUAAUACCGCAUAUUCUGUGAGCAGGAAAGCAGGGGAUCGCAAGACCUUGCGCUGAUUGAGCGGCCGAUAUCAGAUUAGCUAGUUGGUGGGGUAAAGGCCUACCAAGGCUACGAUCUGUAGCGGGUCUGAGAGGAUGAUCCGCCACACUGGAACUGAGACACGGUCCAGACUCCUACGGGAGGCAGCAGUGGGGAAUUUUGGACAAUGGGGGCAACCCUGAUCCAGCCAUGCCGCGUGAGUGAAGAAGGCCUUCGGGUUGUAAAGCUCUUUCGGCCGGGAAGAAAUCGUAUGGGUUAAUACCCUGUGCGGAUGACGGUACCGGCAUAAGAAGCACCGGCUAACUACGUG
rnacentral:rRNA from 1 species